UUGACUUGGAAUCAGGUAC
rnacentral:rRNA from 1 species